rnacentral:rRNA from 1 species
AUGUUAUCACCAUCCGGUUCCGUUCUUCAGAUACGCAGAAUCGUUCUUGUUCAUUGGUUGCUUGAGGGGAAUGUUAUUUUCUUGGAGAUACAGAGAGAAAUCUCUACUGAAUUAGGUGUUGAAGAUGUUUUCUUGUGUAUGUGUGUGUCAGUGCAAACCCGGAUCAGUUGCUGCUCCAAACCAGACAAUUUGGAGGAUAAACGCGAGUCUCCCAGCGAUGCCAUGGAAGAAGAAAGUAUUCGCUCCAGACGUAGAUGUCUAGCUUGCCUGUGUGCUGUAACAUUAAUCAGUGCAUCGGGCCCAAAGUUUUCUAUCAUUGGAACCUUGAUGAUUUAUCUCAUUUGA